rnacentral:sRNA from 1 species
UCGCCUAAGCCUAGUAUUACCUUAGGCGACUUCUGUAUCAUGUCGCA